GUGAAAUAACCUGGGACUUCACGUCCCACACCAUCUCACAUCUACACACCUCUGUGCACUGUUGGACCUGCCUUUCCAAGGCCUGUCCUUUUCCUUUACAAACAUCUCAUGCAUGUAUGGAAAGUGAAGUUAUCAAAGUUA
rnacentral:misc_RNA from 1 species